rnacentral:ncRNA from 1 species
UACUUUCCUGAAAAGAGAGCAAUUUAGCACUCCCCUAGACAAGGAUGGAAUCACAUAAAUGACUGGAAAAGGCACUUUCUUACUUUUUUAAUUGAAAAAUAUACGUCCGAUCAAAAUUCUUCUAAAAAUUUUU